rnacentral:rRNA from 1 species
UACAGAGGUCUCAAGCGUUGUUCGGAUUCAUUGGGCGUAAAGGGUGCGUAGGCGGCGCGGUAAGUCGGGUGUGAAAUCUCGGAGCUUAACUCCGAAACUGCAUUCGAUACUGCCGUGCUUGAGGACUGGAGAGGAGACUGGAAUUUACGGUGUAGCGGUGAAAUGCGUAGAUAUCAGGAGGAACACCGGUGGCGAAAGGCGGGUCUCUGGGCCGAUACUGACGCUGAGGAGCGAAAGCGUGGGA